UCCCUGGUGGUCUAAUGGUUAGGAUUUGGUACUUUCACUGCUAUGGCCCAGGUUUAAUUCCUCGUCUGGGAA
rnacentral:tRNA from 1 species